GUGCCAGCCGCCGCGGUAAUACCGGCAGCACGAGUGAUGGCCGAUAUUAUUGGGCCUAAAGCGUCCGUAGCUUGCUGUGUAAGUCCAUUGGGAAAUCGACGCGCUCAACGCGUCGGUGUCCGGUGGAAACUACACGGCUUGGGGCCGGGAGACUCGACGGGUACGUUCGGGGUAGGAGUGAAAUCCCAUAAUCCCGCACGGACCACCGAUGGCGAAAGCACUUCGAGAAAACGGAUCCGACAGUGAGGGACGGAAGCCAGGGUCUCCAACCGGAUUAGAAACCCGGGUAGUCC
rnacentral:rRNA from 1 species